AAAGUGGAGACGACAGUGAGGAAAGCAUCUUCCCUCUCCCGAGGAAUUUGUCCCCUACCUCACUGUUCAAGGAGUGGCCCAUGAUCUGUAGACCAGCAGCAUCAGCUUCAUCUGGCAGCUUGUUAUGCAGAAUUUCAGGUCCUACCUGAAUACCAAAUCCGAUUCUGGUUUUUAAUAAGAUCCCCAGGAGGCUUUGUAAAUUUCCUGACACCAUACAGAAGUGAACCGCUACAGAUUUACAGAUGCAUUAAAACGUGGCUCUGAAGGUUAUUCUACCCAUCUAAUGGAUAGAACAUUGAGUUGAUACAUCUGAGUGUCCUCUUUGCCUUCAAAAAGAAAUAACUACAGGGGAACUGAGGAGCUGUCCUGAAUACUCCAGAGGCAGGAACUUGGAAGUUCAAGGCAAAGGGAAUUCAAGGAGGGAGUGGUGGUGCUCAGUGGCAUCAGAUAGUAUUACACAACUACAUCUAUGUAAACACUUAUUAGGAAGUUGAUGAAGCUAUCAGCAUGACUGGAGACAGAUUGAGUACCCUGGGGCUCCUAAAUUAUAACAAAUAACGUCAAAGAAAGAUAUUUCUUUGACCCAAAUCAUCAGGUGCCCUGAGCUCCUCUGAGAGACCUGGUCUGGAGAUCACUUGAACCUUAAGCCCCUGAGCUUCCCAGAGAUCACUUAGAACCUGUGGCCUGUGUGUUCUCCUAAGGCCUGGCAGCAGAGCUGGGGAAGCUGGUAGUGGGAGAAGGUGAAGAGAGCAGACUCACUCCUGGCAGUAGGAGAGGGGCGAUGGAGAGAUGAGCACCAGUUGCUUCAUGGCGCAAGUUGUCCAGGCAGAAAACUGCCUGAAAUCUUCAGUUCUCAGCUUACUGCUGCCUCCUCACUUCCUUUAUAGAUUCAUCUUUCAUUGAGGAAGCCAGGGAAAAAAUGGCAUAUCUCACUUCAGCCUUUAUGAAAUAAGACUACAUGGAUAGUCAAACUUUUAGUUUCUGAGAAGUUUUGUAGAAAUAAAAAAAAAAAAACAAGAAUUUUUUAUCUUUGCUUCUUUAUUUUCAGCAGACCAAGUAAGUCACAUUGGCACAGAUAUAUGCUUUUGUGGUAGUUAAUUGGAAGUAAGAAACGUUCGUGCUCUCAUGUCUACAU